GACAGAGGUGCCAAGCGUUAGGCGGAAUCACUGGGCUUAAAGCGUGUGUAGGUGGAUGCCUAAGUACCUUGUGAAAUCCCACGGCUUAACCGUGGAACUGCUCGGUAUACUGGGUGUCUUGAGCCAGCUAGGGGCUACCGGAACAAAUGGUGGAGCGGUGAAAUGCGUAGAUAUCAUUUGGAACGCCAAUGGUGAAAACAGGUAGCUGGGGCUGUGCUGACACUGAGACACGAAAGCCAGGGGAGCGAACGGG
rnacentral:rRNA from 1 species